rnacentral:lncRNA from 1 species
UCUUGAAUUCCUGACCUCAAGUGAUCCACUCACCUCGGCAUCCCAAAGUGCUGGGAUUACAGGCGUGAGCCACUGCGCCGGGCUCCAGCAUUUAUUUUUGAUGUAUCUUUAUGGUAGAAAAUUUGGAAAGUGCAGAGAAGUAUACACAGGAAGAAAAAUUCCCAACCCCCAGAGGCAAACCAGCUGAAACCACGCAACCCCAGUCACCCCAAUGCACCGUGAGGCUGCUGCCUCCUGUCAGGGUCAGAUGACCCUCGAGGCUCAGGAAAGUCAGAGGAUGCCAUCUGCAUGGUGGUGAAUUACAGAGGUGAUGAGGCAAGGCGGGUGUGGGGCUGUUCUUAAAAUGGGGCAGCAGGACGGCCCCAAGGAGAUGGAUUUGGGCUGGGACGGGAAGAGAGAGCGGGCCCUGCUGGGGUGGGUGGUUGUUCAAAUGGUGGAAACAGCAGACGCAAAGGCCCUGCCGUUGGGACCAGCUUGUGGAAUAAACUUUCAGAAACAGAUCAAAGAAGGUAGGUGGCUGGAAGGGGCAGCAACGAUGAGGCUGGAGAGGGAGGCGGGGCUAGGCUGGUGCUCGGGCGACUUGCUGGGUGGCCCUAGGAGCACAGUGAGGCCAGUGUGGCUGGAGGGGAGUGGGGAAGAAGAGGGGACGGGGCAGGUUCACAGGAAGGAGGGCCCAAGACCAACCUCGGGGACCAGGAGAGCCCUGUCUCCUCUCACUUCGCAUUUUCCAUUCUGUCUCUGGCCACCUCACUACCUACAGUGGCAGGAAAAGGAAUCUCAGACCCAAAAUAGCCUUCACACUGUGGCGGGGGACUGCUAGCGAUGGACACGCGUUAGGUUUCAUCCUCAUUUCUGUCCCUGUCUGAGGCUGAAAGGCACAGGAUUUGAACACAGGCCUGCCUGAGCCCACAAGAGGCUGCCUCCGGGACCUGGGAAAAGGGGAUCAAUUGGACCUGAUUCCCACCCUCUCCAGAACUGAGCUGCUGUGUGAGGCCGGGGCCGGACUUAUCUUUCUGAAGCACAGAGAAGCGGUUAUACGGGGAAGUUUGGGAGAACUGGGUAAGGCCGCACAUAUGGAAAUUGCCAGUUUCGUGGGUCACAACGUCAAUACACUUAGACCAGCUCAAAGCGCAGUUGGGGACAGUGAUGAAGUGCAGAGCGUCCCCAGCCAACAACAAGACUGCCAAGCAACCGGCAGCGCGGGUAACGGAGAAAACAAGGAAAAAAACGCACUUACCACCCACCAACAAGAAACAGAAACACAGCCACCCCCCUGUCAGUCUACUUUUUAGGUGUGAAUGGGGUC